rnacentral:lncRNA from 1 species
CAUAUCCUUCAACUUUGCUGCAUUUGUUUUAGUUCUAACAAUUUUUUGGUGGUGUCUUUAGGGUUUUCUUUUUUCUUUUUCUUUUUUUUUUUUGAGACAGAGUCUCGCUCUGUUGCCAGGCUGGAGUGCAGUGGCACGAUCUUGGCUCACUGCAGCCUCCGCCUGUCAGGUUCAAGCAAUUCUCCCGCCUCAGCCUCCUGAGUAGCUGGGAUUACAGGCGUCUGCCACCACGCCCAGCUAAUUUUUGUAUUUUUAGUAGAGACGGGGGUUUCACCAUGUUGGUCAGGCUGGUCUUGAACCCCUGACCUUGUGAUUCACCCGCCUCAGCCUCCCAAACUGCUGGGAUUACAGGCGUGAGCCACCGUGCCCGGCAAGGUUUUCUAUAUAUACAAUCUUGUCCGCAAAAAUGUAAUUUUACUUCUUCUUUUCCAAUUUGGUUGGCUUUUCUCCUUCCUUCCCUCCCUUCCUUUGUUGUUCUUUUUUGUCUAAUAAUUCUGAUGAGGGCUUCCAAUACAACAUUGACUAGAAGUGGUGGGAGUGCUUAUCUUAUUCCAGAUCUUAGAGAAAAAGCAUUCCAUUUUUUUCCUGUUCAGUAUGAUGUUUGCCGUAGGUUUGUCAUAUAAAGCUUUCAUUGUGUUGAGAUAUGUUCCUUCUAUACCUAAUUUGUUGUGAGUUUUUUUUGUUUUGUUUUGCUUUGUUUUGUUUGAGACGGAGUCUCACUCUGUCGCCAGGCUGGAGUGCAGUGGCACGAUCUCAAUUCACUGCAUCCUCUGCUUCCUGGGUUCAAGUGAUCCUCCUGCCUCAGCCUCCCGAGUUGCUGGGACUACAGGCAUGUGCCACCACGCCCAGCUAAUUUUUUGUAUUUUUAGUAGAGAUGGGGUUUCACCAUGCUGGCCAGGAUGGUCUCGAUCUCUUGACCUCAUGAUCCCGCCUCGGCUUCCCACAGUGCUGGGUUUACAGGCAUAAGCCACUGCGCCCGGCCCUGUUGUGAGUUUUUAUCAUGAAUAUAUGGAAUGUUAUCAAGUCAUUUUCUGCAUAUAUUGAAAUGAUAUUUUUUUCUUGUUGAUUCUGUUACUGUGAUGUAUCACGUUUAUUGGUUUCCAUAUGUUGAACUAUCCCUACACCCAUGGGAUACAUCCUACUUGGUCAGGAGUUCGAGACCAGCCUGGCCAACAUGGUGAAACCCUGUCUCUACUAAAAAUGCAAAAAAAUUAGCAAGGUUUGGUGAGGCAUGCCUGUAAUCUCAGCUACUCUGGAGGCUGACCAGGAGAAUCGCUUGACGUGGGAGGUGGAGGUUGCAGUGAGCUGAGAUCAUGCCACUGCACUCCAGCCUGGGUGACUCCAUCUCAAAAAAAAAAGUGAGACUCCAUCUCAAAAAAAUAAA